rnacentral:misc_RNA from 1 species
AUUUUUUUAUAUAGGUUGAUAUUGUAUAUAGUUUUUGUCUUUAUUUGUUCAAUUAGAAAAAUAAUAUAUCCAAUCUUAUCUAUUAUUUAGUACAUUUUGUAUAAAAGUUAUUUAUUUAUUAAGUUAAAAUCUAAAGAUUUUUGUGAGAUAAAUUAAAUUUGAGAGAUGUGUGUAUUAUAUUUAUUGAAAUUGGGGAUGAUAAUUGAAAUUUAGCCAUAGUUAACCUGGAAACCUGUAAUAGCAGGUUACAUAAAUUUUAAUGAUAUUCAAAUUGAAGUUUAGAGAUUUUUAUGAUACAAAUUAAAG